rnacentral:rRNA from 1 species
UACAGAGGUCUCAAGCGUUGUUCGGAUUCACUGGGCGUAAAGGGUGCGUAGGUGGUGAGGUAAGUUUGAUGUGAAAUCUCCGGGCUCAACCCGGAAAUGGCAUUGAAUACUAUCUUGCUAGAGGAGUGGAGGGGGGACUGGAAUACUUGGUGUAGCAGUGAAAUGCGUAGAUAUCAAGUGGAACACCAGUGGCGAAGGCGAGUCCCUGGACACUUCCUGACACUGAGGCACGAAAGCUAGGGGAGCAAACAGG